rnacentral:rRNA from 1 species
GGGACAACAGUUGGAAACGACUGCUAAUACCGCAUAAGCCCACGGGUCGGCAUCGAGCAGAGGGAAAAGGAGCAAUCCGCUUUGAGAUGGCCUCGCGUCCGAUUAGCUAGUUGGUGAGGUAAUGGCCCACCAAGGCAACGAUCGGUAGCCGGACUGAGAGGUUGAACGGCCACAUUGGGACUGAGACACGGCCCAGACUCCUACGGGAGGCAGCAGUGGGGAAUAUUGCACAAUGGGGGAAACCCUGAUGCAGCGACGCCGCGUGGAGGAAGAAGGUCUUCGGAUUGUAAACUCCUGUUGUUGAGGAAGAUAAUGACGGUACUCAACAAGGAAGUGACGGCUAACUACGUGCCAGCAGCCGCGGUAAAACGUAGGUCACAAGCGUUGUCCGGAAUUACUGGGUGUAAAGGGAGCGCAGGCGGGAAGACAAGUUGGAAGUGAAAUCCAUGGGCUCAACCCAUGAACUGCUUUCAAAACUGUUUUUCUUGAGUAGUGCAGAGGUAGGCGGAAUUCCCGGUGUAGCGGUGGAAUGCGUAGAUAUCGGGAGGAACACCAGUGGCGAAGGCGGCCUACUGGGCACCAACUGACGCUGAGGCUCGAAAGUGUGGGUAGCAAACAGGAUUAGAUACCCUGGUAGUCCACACCGUAAACGAUGAUUACCAGGUGUUGGAGGAUUGACCCCUUCAGUGCCGCAG